UACGAAGGGGGCUAGCGUUGUUCGGAUUUACUGGGCGUAAAGCGCACGUAGGCGGAUCGUUAAGUCGGGGGUGAAAUCCUGGAGCUCAACUCCAGAACUGCCUUCGAUACUGGCGAUCUUGAGUCCGGAAGAGGUGAGUGGAACUCCUAGUGUAGAGGUGGAAUUCGUAGAUAUGGGGAGGAACACCGGUGGCGAAGGCGACCAUCUGGACGGAUACUGACGCUGAGAACGCGGAAAGCGUGGGGAGCAAACAGG
rnacentral:rRNA from 1 species